GGCUCAUUGGUCUAGGCGUAUGAUUCUCGCUUCAGGUGCAGGUCCCAGGUUCAAAUCCUGGAUGAGCCC